rnacentral:piRNA from 1 species
AGUGAAAUAUUCAGUCAGUUGAAGGAAAC